AGUUCCCCAAUUGUCAACCAACUCACCUCUAUAUUAUGGCACACGUGGAUUUUGGUUUACUUUUUGCCGGACUGUGAAGCCGAUUUUUGGUAUUUUGUGAAUUAUCAAGUUGGAGCUCCCGUUUGUAGGCUACACCUAAUUGUCAUUCUUUCCAAGUCUGUAAAAUGAUCCUCAGGUUCCUUCUUUGUAUUUUGCCUGAACAACAAAAAUCAACCCUGGCCUCCAACGGGGUGCUUCGAUAAGAGCCCUGCAGGAUAACUGAAGAACUUGAUGAUUGGACUACAAGGUUCCUUGACGGUAACCAAACCAUCCUGCCAGAAGUUACUCAUGCUGGCUUUCAUAUUGUUCCCUAGGUAGCAGCUCAUCUGGAUGGUCUGGCAUUGAUGUUUGUAUGACAGCAAACCGGCUGUCACUCCAGGAAAGUGCAUAAGGACAGAACCAAGUUGAUCUACUCCUGUCUACCGUCCAGUGACCUACUAGUCUUUCACUUCUACGGAGCAUGCGUUUCCUCAAAACCCAACCUUUCCCUUGGUCUUUCCACAAGCUUCUUGUGUCCACUUGGGGUUUUGAGUGUCAAACCUCAAAGGCUUCAGAGAUGACAUUUAAUACUUGUUGCUUCAUAAAUAAACUAUUUUUAUAAGAUUGUUAGUCUUCAUUUUUUUGGUUUUUCUU